CUUCAUCCUCCCGCGUCCUCCCGGGCUCGCGCCGCUGUCACUGGAGCCCGCAUCCUCCGCCUCCCGCCGCCGCCGCGACCCCGCACCGGGAACCAAGCCGGCGCGGAAAACCGCAAGCUUGACUCCACGCCCACCUGACUGGACUCAGAAAACCGAAGAAGUUAGUGAGGGUACAGCAAUAAAUAGCAGGAGGAGCAGAAUUUGAAACAGUAGCAUGCCGGUCCUGCGCCCCGUGAAGGAUGACUCGCCAGAAAGCAAAGGCGCAGCCCUACCUCCGCGAGCUUGGCGCGUGGCCCAGGAGGCUCCGCGAGCCCUUGUACGUAAGGAUCGUGGCGCCCACGCUUGAGAGCAGAGCUCAGUGCAAACUUCCAACAGUUCUUCCAGUUUCCAGGGAAACAAGAUUUGGAGCUGCUGCGUGUUGCAGAGCUGCCUCUCUGCUCCCCACAUGGGACCCCUGUGGCUGGCUGGUCUUGGGGAGGAAGGAAUUAAAGCCACCUCAUCCAUGAAGGGAUUCUUUCACCAAGGACGAGCUCACCAUGCUCUGUUGUGAGCCCUCCUCAACUUCCACUUGCAGAGCCAAGGAGGGGAUCAAGGGUAGCUGCAGUCUAUCUGCAGUCCAGUGACCUGGAGGGGUCAGAGGCAGGAAGGAGAGAGAGCAACUCCAGAAAGAACCAUACCAGCAAGGAAUAACUUUGCUACUUUUCCAGAAAAUCACAUCAUCAGCAACUGACCAAGUUCCUACAGAGCCUGGGCAGGUCUGGCAGCCUUCUGGGGGCAGAUCUGACUCUCCCACACUAAAAACAAGGAAGAGGCUCUACACCCAGAAAAGACAUGGCAGAAAUGCAACAGCAUAAUCCCAGCACUUGGGAGGCAGAGGCAGGGGAAUUUCUGAGUUCGAGGCCAGCCUGGUCUACAGAGUGAGUUCCAGGACAGCCAGGGCGCCUCAACACAGAGAAACCCUGACUUGAACCCCACCCCACCCCCCCCAAAAAAAGAAGGAAAAAGAAAGGAAGGAAGGAAGAAGUGCAGCAGCAAUUAGGGAUUAGGGAAUAGUUUCACGUUCAAGUCUUACUUUUUAAUAUUUAUGUGUUUACUAACAUUCAAAACUGCAUCUCCUAGAAUAUUGAUUCAGUUAGCUGAGCUUUUAAUUUUUCUGCUCCAUCACUUUUUCAAGUAUUUUUGUUUUUUAUUUUAUAACAUAUGUCUUAGUCUACCUUCUUUUACUAUAACUGAAUGCCAUAACAUUUAUGAAGAACAACGGUUUAUUUAGCUCACACUUCAGAAGUGCUUGCAACUGUGAAGUCUUGUGCUGUAGAAUGGUAUAGGGUAUCACAUGGCAAGACAGAGCAACCAGAGAGCUCCUUCCAUGACAAAACCACUCAACUAAUUAUAUCCCAGAGGUCCCACCAAACACCGUGAGCAUGUGACUUUGGGGUCACAUUUCUAGCCCAUGAAUUCUGGGGACAAGCAUUCGCACAUCAUAACUGACCAAAUAGUUGAAAUUUUCACUGUUAAUCCUCACCCCCGUUUUUCCAUUAAUAGCCAUGUUAAUCUGUCACUUCACACAGGCAGUGCAGGCAUCUCUGUGCAAAACACCCAACUGUGAGUCUUCCAAAGAACUCAUGAAACCAUGGCUGUGAGUUCUCAGAGACACAACAGUGUUUCUUAUUAAGUUAAAAGCUUUUGUCUUAUAGAAUGUAAUCACAGAAAAUAUUAAAUAUACAUGUGAUGUCUUCAUGACAUAGAAAUAAGCAUUUAUCUGGCUUCUUGAAGACGGAAGUGCCCGAGGAGGAUGCAGCCCAGAACCUGCCAGCUCACCAGAGCUGUCUUCCUGAACUUGCUUAGAUAUUUAUAAGAAGGAAUCCAUUUCUAGCCGUUUUAGUUGGCUUGGUCUGUCUUGUUUUGUUUUGUUUGUUUAUUUGUUGUUGUUUUCUAAUUUUGCAAAGAAUCAGAGAGAUGAUUGAUUCUCCAUGCCUGGCCUCUUUUGUUCCAUGUAUGUUUGUGAAGUGUGUCCAUGAUGCUGUACACAGCGAUAGCUCACUCAUUGCUGAUAAUGAAGCCCAGCAGCUUACCCAUUUCACUGCAGUAAACAACAUAUUGCUUCUUGUUUGUGUGUCCUGAAUCACGGAGACAUGCAGUUGAGUAACCUGGGGGUGAAAUCGCCCUGUCUGAUUAAUACUAUCUUUACUUUUAUUUACCUGUUUCCCAUUGAGGUGAAAUUUAUGUACAAUAAGAACCAUUGAUUUUUUAACUGUACAAUUCCGUGAGUUUGGACGGUUGCCUACAUUUAUACAAACGACCACCUCUGGACUCACUGCUGUUCCAGCUUCUGCAAAUGCUAAGCUCAGCGUUUCCCCACACCAGGUCCGUGUGCUAUAGGUUUUAUUACAGCAUUUCCUAUGCAUGGUUGCAUGCAGUGGACAAUCUUUUCUGCCUGGUUUCAGUGCCUUUCAGAUUUGUCCAAACUCUUGCAUGAAUCGAUUGAAUGUACUUAUUGCUGAAUAGAAUUCUAGUAAAAAGUGUUUAUCCAUUCACG
rnacentral:lncRNA from 1 species